UCCUGGAGACCGGAGAGACUGGAGUCAUUGGAGCGACGGGAGAGUGCCAGUGGGGUGUCCUGCUGGCUGCUUGUUCACUAUUUCUAAAUUAAUAAUUUGGAAUUCUUCAGCUGCGUCUUCGACUUGAAAUUUCUAAACCGUAAGCUCUUUCUGGGUUAAUUUCUAUAGCGAAAGCUUAGCAGCAGCAACAGAAGCUUGAGUGAUUUACCUGACGACAUUCUUCAACUCAUGAUAUCCUACUUCAACCCUAAAGAAGCAGUUAGAACGAGCAUAUUAUCAAAAAGGUGGAGAUACGUCAAUCCCAUCAUUGACUUGCGUAAAUUCCCCUUCAACCGGGAUCGGAAGAUAGAACAGUUUUCAGAUUAUGUGGAUAGGGCAAUUUUUCUUCAACAUUUCGUAAAAAGCUUCCAUGUUAUAAUUAUAUAUCAACACUACGAUUAAGAAGCUAUGACCUCUGUCAUUAUGCGUUGGAUCAAAGGUGUAGAUGCGGAAUGUGCAGGAUUUAUCUAUCUACAUUGAUGAAAACAUUUACGGAAACAAAA